GAGACAGCAGUAGCCGCGGUAAUCCGUAGGUCCCGAGCGUUGUCCGGAUUUAUUGGGCGUAAAGCGAGCGCAGGCGGUUAGAUAAGUCUGAAGUUAAAGGCUGUGGCUUAACCAUAGUACGCUUUGGAAACUGUUUAACUUGAGUGCAAGAGGGGAGAGUGGAAUUCCAUGUGUAGCGGUGAAAUGCGUAGAUAUAUGGAGGAACACCGGUGGCGAAAGCGGCUCUCUGGCUUGUAACUGACGCUGAGGCUCGAAAGCGUGGGGAGCAAACAGGAUUAGAUACCCCCGUAGUCCCUGUCUCUUAUACA
rnacentral:rRNA from 1 species